ACAUAGAGGGAGGUAAACAAACCCCCAAAACCGGAAGGAAGCGCGUGCGGAUUCAUCCAAGUGCAAAUAUUUCAAUUUGAAACUGAUAAGUCCCAUUAAUGUGCAAAUGUAUCAAACAUACAUACUUUAUGUAUAUCCAGCCACAUAGAGAAAAAACUUACUUAAAGCACUUGAGAACCACGCAGAUACUUUUAAGUACUUACUCCAUGGAAUGUAUGUAUCGAUUACUUUGUCUAAUGCACUUUGCAACUCAAACUGAAGACCGAAACCGAAUCUGCAACUGCAACUGUAACUGCAACUGUAACUGAAACUGAUGCCAAGUGCCGCCUGCAGAACUCAACUUAACUCAACAACUUGCCGCAGGCGAGUGGAUGGAGUUUGCCAAAUGGAUAGUUGGAUGAUAGACGGCUUGUACUUGAACUGAUUGAGGGAAUGACACAGUUAGAGAUUGAGAGCGGCAAUGGCCACUACACUUGUAAGAUUAACGACCGACCGAGCUCUGAUUUACAGCUGAGUUCAAGAACUUCUCUCCUGGUUGCUGUCAACACUGCACAGCAAUUGUGCUCAUUCCGUCAACAGAUUUGUUGUUUUAUAUAUUUUUUAUAUUUUAAAUUAAAUAAGAUUCGCUUGAAUCAGUAAUGCUAUAACA